AGCAGAGACAGAGGUAAUCACUCUUAGUUCAUAAGUUUAAUUUUUAAAAAAAGAUUCAAACUCCAAUUCACACAUAAAAAGUGUAGCAGCACCGAAACAGUGGUGGCCAGUGUAGGCCUACUAAAUGACCAACUCCUCUCUCAUGCAUUGUCUACCCCUGAAUAUUUGUAAAGUUUGGAUAAUGUUUGUCACAAUUUUUUUUUUUAUAUUGCAAUUUUUCAGUGCCGUAUUUAGACGUCAAAAGUCCCUAAGCUAUUUGCGAUAUGGGGCAUUAUUCAAGUCCAGAUGUUAGAUGUCAAUGAUAUUUCUAUUUCACUCUGUCGACUACCUGUCUGCACUACAUUUUGAACAUGUUAUUUCUCCCACACCCGCAGUAGGAUAAGUUGAAACAUUACACCAUUAUUUAUUGUACCUAACAAAACAUGAAUCAAUUAUAAAAUUAACCAAUAAGUCGUUAAAUCAUUGUUAAUUAAUUAAUUUAGUUAGAUAUAUAUUAAUGGAAAUAUUUUUUUUAGUAUAGUAUUAAUAGAUAUGGCAUUAAAUGUAAGUUGCUUUCCUUAUAUAAGCUUUGUAUUUUGGUUCAAAGUAUUUUUAUUUUGUUUGUUAACUCUUUUACUCUCUCAGUGGAAUGGCUUAAACACAAAGUUGUCACCUUGUUAAAAUGAAAGAUGAUGUAUUUUAAAAAGGACUCCAGUCUCAAUCCACUACUGGCUACUAUAAGGACCAGCAAAACAAAAAAGAUUAUGUUUUGACCAACACUGAAAUUAACAAGGGAGAGUCUAGUGAUAGGGGAGAGUCUAAUGUUAGGGUAGAGUAAAGUAAUAGGGGAGAGUCUAAUGUUAAGGUAGAGUAAAGUGUUAGGGGAGAGUCUAGUGAUAGGAGAAAGUCUAAUGUUAGGGUAGAGUCUAAUGUUAGGGUAGAGUCUAAUGUUAGGGUAGAGUCUAGUGAUAGGAGAAAGUCUAAUGUUAGGGUAGAGUCUAAUUUUAGGGUAGAGUAAAGUGAUAGGGGAGAGUCUAGUGUUAGGGGAGAGUCAAGUGAUAGGGGAGAGUCUAAUGUUAGGGGAGAGUCUAAUGUUAGGGGAGAGUCUAGUGAUAGGGGAGAGUCAAGUGAUAGGGGAGAGUCUAGUGAUAGGGAGAGUCUAGUGUUACGGGAGAGUCAAGUGAUAGGGGAGAGUCUUAGUGAUAGGGGAGAGUCUAGUGUUAGGAGAGAGUCAAGUGAUAGGGGAGAGUCAAGUGAUAGGGGAGAGUCUAGUGAUAGGGGAGAGUCAAUUGAUAGGGGAGAGUCAAGUAAUAGGGGAGAGUCUAGUGUUAGGGGAGAGUCUAGUGUUACAGGAGAGUCAAGUGAUAGGGGAGAGUCAAGUGAUAGGGGAGAGUCAAGUGAUAGAGGAGAGUCAAGUGAUAGGGGAGAGUCAAGUGAUAGAGGAGACUCAAGUGAUAGGUGAGAGUCAAGUGAUAGGGGAGAGUCUAGUGAUAGGGGAGAGUCUAGUGAUAGGGGAGAGUCAAGUGUAAAAGGAGAUUCUAAUGUUAGGGGAGAGUCUAGUGAUAGGCGUUUAAAAAAAACGGAUGAGGCCUUGUUUAAGACUAUAUUUUUAAAAAAAAAGGGCUAACUAUUACAGACACAAAGUGUAACAAGUCUUAUAAUUUAUUAAAAUUUGUUAAAAGUGACCAAAGACAAAGAGCUAUGUAGUAGACACCUUUUUGUAACACAGAGCUUUGGUACAAGACAAGAUGUUUAUAUACUUGUCAGAUAUACAUCACAUUUCAAUGCACAACUCACUAAACAAGUAAAUGUGCAGCUUGUCUAGCAAAACACUCAGUUUGGCAGCUGCACUUCUCACUCAACUAUUGUGACAUUCAAACUUACAUGCCAAAUGCAAACAAUAUUCAAUCAGCAAUUAUUCAAUGAUGAAUUAAAAAAGACCACUAAAAAAUCAUUCCUGAAUUUGAACAACCUUAUACUCAGCUUUUUUUUAAAGUAUUUUUUUUGUUGAAAAAGUGGGGGUGGGGGGUGAUUGAUGGGAGAUAUCUUGAGUACAAUUGGUUUACAUUAUCAAAAAGGUGUUUGAUAAGCCUACAUCAGUGGGUCAGGAAAAAUGGUCUGAAUACAAUGUAGAUAAUUACAAUUAAAAAUGAUGAUUUAUAUGUUUAAAAAUUCAUUUCAAAAUUUCCAAUAAGAAAUGAAACAAUAUCACUAGUAUCUCCGAUGCCUGCAUAUUAUUAAAUUUAUUAUUAAAAAAAUUUCCAAAAAAAA
rnacentral:sRNA from 1 species